GAUUAACGCUGGCGGCAUGCCUUAUGCAUGCAAGUCGAACGGUAACAGGUCUUCGGAUGCUGACGAGUGGCGAACGGGUGAGUAAUACAUCGGAACGUGCCUAGUAGUGGGGGAUAACUACUCGAAAGAGUGGCUAAUACCGCAUGAGAUCUACGGAUGAAAGCAGGGGAUCGCAAGACCUUGUGCUACUAGAGCGGCCGAUGGCAGAUUAGGUAGUUGGUGGGAUAAAAGCUUACCAAGCCGACGAUCUGUAGCUGGUCUGAGAGGACGAUCAGCCACACUGGGACCGAGACACGGCCCAGACUCCUACGGGAGGCAGCAGUGGGGAAUUUUGGACAAUGGGCGCAAGCCUGAUCCAGCAAUGCCGCGUGCAGGAUGAAGGCCUUCGGGUUGUAAACUGCUUUUGUACGGAACGAAAAGCCCUGGGUUAAUACCCUGGGGUCAUGACGGUACCGUAAGAAUAAGCACCGGCUAACUACGUGCCAGCCGCCGCAGUAA
rnacentral:rRNA from 1 species